rnacentral:rRNA from 1 species
GAUGAACGCUGGCGGCGUGCUUAACACAUGCAAGUCGAACGGAAAGGCCCAAGCUUGCUUGGGUACUCGAGUGGCGAACGGGUGAGUAACACGUGGGUGAUCUGCCCUGCACUUCGGGAUAAGCCUGGGAAACUGGGUCUAAUACCGGAUAGGACGAUGGUUUGGAUGCCAUUGUGGAAAGUUUUUUCGGUGUGGGAUGAGCUCGCGGCCUAUCAGCUUGUUGGGGGGGUAAUGGCCUACCAAGGCGUCGACGGGUAGCCGGCCUGAGAGGGUGUACGGCCAAUUGGGACCGAGGACAGGCCCAAGUCCCUAAGGGGGGGAGGAGGGGGGAAAUUUGCAAAAGGGGGGAAAGGCGGGUGGAGGAGCGCCGGGGGGGGGAAGGCGGCCUUGGGGUUGAAAACCCCUUUUCGUAGGGGAGAAGCGUUUUUGUGCGGGUACCGGGAAAAAAGCCACGGCUAAAUUCGUG